GAUGAACGCUAACUACAGGCUUAACACAUGCAAGUCGAGGGGUAACGAGAGGAAAGCUUGCUUUCCUUGUCGACGACAGGCGCACGGGUGAGUAACGCGUAUCCAACCUGCCCCCAACUAGGGAAUAACCUUGCGAAAGUAAGACUAAUACCCUAUAAUUUCCUCAGAUGACAUCUGACGAGGAAUAAAGAUUUAUCGGUUGUGGAUGGGGAUGCGUCUGAUUAGCUUGUUGGCGGGGUAACGGCACGCCAAGGCAACGAUCAGUAGGGGUUCUGAGAGGAAGGGCCCCCACAUUGGAACGGAGACACGGUCCCAACUCCUACGGGAGGCAGCAGUGAGGGAUAUUGGUCAAUGGGCGGAAGCCUGAACCAGCCAAGUAGCGAGCAGGAUGACGGCCCUAUGGGUUGUAAACUGCUUUUAUACAGGAAUAAAGUUAGCCACGUGUGGUUAUUUGUAGGUACUGUAUGAAUAAGGACCGGCUAAUUCCGUGCCAGCCGCCGCAGUAA
rnacentral:rRNA from 1 species